UACGUAGGGUGCAAGCGUUGUCCGGAAUUACUGGGCGUAAAGCGCGUGUAGGCGGCUCUUCAAGUCAGGCGUGAAAGCCCCGGGCUUAACUCGGGAACUGCGCUUGAUACUGUCGAGCUAGAGUGUGGAAGGGGCGAUUGGAAUUCCGUGUGUAGCGGUGAAAUGCGUAGAUAUACGGAGGAACACCAGAGGCGAAGGCGGAUCGCUGGGCCAACACUGACGCUGAGACGCGAAAGCUAGGGGAGCAAACGGG
rnacentral:rRNA from 1 species